GAUGAAGAACGCAGCGAAAUGCGAUAAGUAAUGUGAAUUGCAGAAUUCAGUGAAUCAUCGAAUCUUUGAACGCACAUUGCGCCCGCCAGUAUUCUGGCGGGCAUGCCUGUUCGAGCGUCAUUUCAACCAUCAAGCCCCCGGGCUUGUGUUGGGGACCUGCGGCUGCCGCAGGCCCUGAAAAGCAGUGGCGGGCUCGCUGUCACACCGAGCGUAGCAUACAUCUCGCUCUGGGCGUGCUGCGGGUUCCGGCCGUUAAACUACCCUUUUAACCCAAGGUUGACCUCGGAUCAGGUAGGAAGACCCGCUGAACUUAAGCAUAUCAAUAAGCGGAGGA
rnacentral:misc_RNA from 1 species